rnacentral:rRNA from 1 species
CGAGGAGACGCUGGCGGCGUGCUUAACACAUGCAAGUCGAGCGGUAAGGCCCCUUCGGGGGUACACGAGCGGCGAACGGGUGAGUAACACGUGAGCAAUCUGCCCUUCACUUUGGGAUAACUCUGGGAAACGAGAGCUAAUACCGAAUACGACCACUUCAGGCAUCUGAUGGUGGUGGAAAGUUCCGGCGGUGAAGGAUGAGCUCGCGGCCUAUCAGCUAGUUGGUGGAGUAACGGCCCACCAAGGCUUCGACGGGUAGCCGGCCUGAGAGGGUGUACGGCCACACUGGAAUUGAGAUGCGGUCCAGACUCCUACGGGAGGCAGCAGUGGGGGAUUUUGGACAAUGGGCGAAAGCCUGAUCCAGCGACGCCGCGUGGAGGACGAAGCCCUUCGGGGUGUAAACUCCUUUUCUCAGGGAAAAAGGAUGAUGGUACCUGAGGAAUAAGCCCCGGCUAACUACGUG